AGUUAAUAAGCUCAAAAGCAUAUGUCUUGAAAACAUAAAAUAGAAGUUUAAAUCUUCUAUUAACUU
rnacentral:tRNA from 1 species